UUGUAUAUAGACAUAACCUUGCGUUUUAUACAAUCCUUUGUCAAGCAUUGUUGGCCUAUAAAUUGGCAGAGAGAGUUGAAUGAUACAAUAUGUAACCAAAACACUUGUUUUGCCUCUCUCUUGCUCAUUAGUCGAAGUACCCAUCUUAGUUGCUAGUCGAAACAUGAUGAUGAAAAUGAGUAGCACUAAGAGGCAGCAAACUUUCUGCGUGAUGUUCCUCCUCAUGCUUACUAUCUUACUGAUAAGCUCUCAGGACAAUUUGGGGGCAAAUGCUCAAGAUGAUUGCGACGGUGGAGACACUUGCUUUGCAAGGUGCCUUGUUCGAGGCAAGUGCGAUCGUUGUUGCAAGCAAAAAGGGUAUCUCCAUGGGAAGUGUUCUAGUCUAACAUGCUAUUGUUGCCAUAAUUAGAAUAUUUGAUACACAAUAAAAAAUGUAAGAGUGACAAUGUGUAAUAAUGGGGCUACAUGAAUGGAUCGAUGUUCAUGAUUC